GUUGUUGUUGUUGCAUGCCUCCAAGUCGUUUCUGAUUUAUGGUGACCAUAAGGCAACCCCAUCUUUAUUUGAGUGCUGACACGCGUGAGCAACCAAACUCACAGAGUUGUGCGUAGCUGCAGGUCCAUUGCGUGAAUAAGAAACCCAGAAUGUGUCAGUGAGAGUAUGCACAUAGUCACAUGAAAAAACACAUGCGUGAUGACCCCGUAGACAGCCACCUUGAAUCCUAUUUCAGGAAAAAAGUGCAGCAUGGAUUCAAUAAUAAACAAGCUGAGCUAGAUGGACCAAGAUUGUGAUGCAGUAUAAGGCCGUUUUCUAUUUCUGAAUGAAGUCACGCAGCUCCUCCUGCAGAUGUUGUUGAGCUCCAGUUCUGAGCAUUUCCCACCACUGGCUAUGGUGUCUAGGCCUGCUGGGAGUGGCAGUUUAAUAUCUUGGGGGCUUGACAAUUCCCCUCGUUCCCACAGGCAAAGACAAGGACCAACACAGGUUCACUAACCAAAGUAAUCACUGGAUUCCUGGCUGCUCUAAUAGAACCCCAUCAAACCACAAAAUUCAUGGGGUCAUCAAACCAGAAGAUGCUGCUGCUCAACACCAGCUGCUGCCAGCUCAGCCUUUGUUCUUGCAUUAAUGCCUUCAGGAGCCACCACAACCACUUUGCGCUGCUUUGCAGGGAGUUGGGAAAGUACAUUGGAUUUCAGUCGGCGGAUCAUGAUAGACUCUUCCAGAA